UACGAAGGGGGCUAGCGUUGCUCGGAAUCACUGGGCGUAAAGGGCGCGUAGGUGGUGGCUUAAGCGUGCGGUGAAAGCUCGGAGCUCAACUCCGAGUCGGCCGUGCGAACUGGGCUCACUGGAGCAUAGUAGAGGCAGGUGGAAUUCCGGGUGUAGCGGUGGAAUGCGUAGAGAUCCGGAAGAACACCGGUGGCGAAGGCGGCCUGCUGGGCUAUGGCUGACACUGAGGCGCGACAGCGUGGGGAGCAAACAGG
rnacentral:rRNA from 1 species